UGCAAGUCGAACGGAAACAGGACGCUGUGAUCUCUUCGGAGUGAACUUGUCGCUGUCGAGUGGCGGACGGGUGAGUAAUGCAUAGGAAUUUGCCUCGAAGUGGGGGAUAGCCCGGAGAAAUCCGGAUUAAUACCGCAUGUGCUCUACGGAGCAAAGUGGACCUCUGAUUUAAGUUCACGCUUUGAGAUAAGCCUAUGUCGGAUUAGCUUGUUGGUAGGGUAAAAGCCUACCAAGGCGACGAUCCGUAGCUGGUUUGAGAGGAUGAUCAGCCACACUGGGACUGAGACACGGCCCAGACUCCUACGGGAGGCAGCAGUGGGGAAUAUUGGACAAUGGGCGCAAGCCUGAUCCAGCAAUGCCGCGUGUGUGAAGAAGGCCUGCGGGUUGUAAAGCACUUUUAUCGGGAAAGAAAAACACAGGGUUAGUACCCCUGUGCCUUGACGGUACCCGAAGAAUAAGCACCGGCUAACUCAGUGCCAGCAGCCGCGGUAAUACUGAGGGUGCAAGCGUUAAUCGGAAUUACUGGGCGUAAAGCGAGUGUAGGCGGCUUCGUAAGUCGGAUGUGAAAGCCCCGGGCUUAACCUGGGAAUUGCAUUCGAUACUGCGCGGCUAGAGUUUGAUAGAGGAAAGUGGAAUUCCAGGUGUAGCGGUGAA
rnacentral:rRNA from 1 species